UCACCAGUCGAUCGCCCUUCUAAGGUGCACAAGUUGGGAUGGAUUGGACUUCUAUCUUGAGGAAACGCCAUGAUUUCAGGGCUGCUUUCACCGGGUUUGAUGCAGAAAUCGUCGCCAACUUCAUAGGAAGACAAAUAACAUCAGUGGCCACAGAUUGCAACCUGGAUUUAAACAAGGUUCGAGGUGCCGUUAACAAUGCUAACAGAAUCCUCCAAGUGGUGUUAGGUUGUAGCAGCGUUGAGCUUGAGGCGUGCAG